rnacentral:rRNA from 1 species
GACGCAAUACCGCGAGGUGGAGCAAAUCUAUAAAAUAUGUCCCAGUUCGGAUUGUUCUCUGCAACUCGAGAGCAUGAAGCCGGAAUCGCUAGUAAUCGUAGAUCAGCCAUGCUACGGUGAAUACGUUCCCGGGUCUUGUACUCACCGCCCGUCACACCAUGGGAGUUGAUUUCACUCGAAGCCGGAAUACUAAACUAGUUACCGUCCACAGUGGAAUCAGCGACUGGGGUGAAGUCGUAACAAGGUAACCGUAGGAGAACCUGCGGUUGGAUCACCUCCUUUCUAG